rnacentral:rRNA from 1 species
AACGAACGCUGGCGGCAGGCUUAACACAUGCAAGUCGAACGGUUGUAGCAAUACAGCAGUGGCGCACGGGUGAGUAACGCGUGGGAAUAUACCGAGAAGUGGGGAAUAACUCCGGGAAACUGGAGAUAAUACCGCAUACGCCCGAGAGGGGAAAGAUUUAUCGCUUUUCGAUUAGCCCGCGUGAGAUUAGGUAGUUGGUGGGGUAAUGGCCUACCAAGCCGACGAUCUCUAGCUGGUCUGAGAGGAUGAUCAGCCACACUGGGACUGAGACACGGUCCAGACUCCUACGGGAGGCAGCAGUGGGGAAUAUUGGACAAUGGGCGAAAGCCUGAUCCAGCCAUGCCGCGUGAAUGAUGAAGGCCUUAGGGUUGUAAAGUUCUUUCGCCGAUGAAGAUAAUGACGGUAGUCGGAGAAGAAGCCCCGGCUAACUUCGUGCCAGCCGCCGCCGUAACAC